GGGGAAUAUUGGACAAUGGGCGAAAGCCUGAUCCAGCCAUGCCGCGUGUGUGAAGAAGGUCUUCGGAUUGUAAAGCACUUUAAGUUGGGAGGAAGGGCAUUAACCUAAUACGUUAGUGUUUUGACGUUACCGACAGAAUAAGCACCGGCUAACUCUGUGCCAGCAGCCGCGGUAAUACAGAGGGUGCAAGCGUUAAUCGGAAUUACUGGGCGUAAAGCGCGCGUAGGUGGUUCGUUAAGUUGGAUGUGAAAUCCCCGGGCUCAACCUGGGAACUGCAUCCAAAACUGGCGAGCUAGAGUAGGGCAGAGGGUGGUGGAAUUUCCUGUGUAGCGGUGAAAUGCGUAGAUAUAGGAAGGAACACCAGUGGCGAAGGCGACCACCUGGGCUCAUACUGACACUGAGGUGCGAAAGCGUGGGGAGCAAAC
rnacentral:rRNA from 1 species